rnacentral:rRNA from 1 species
GAUUGAACGCUGGCGGCAGGCCUAACACAUGCAAGUCGAGCGGUAACAUUUCUAGCUUGCUAGAAGAUGACGAGCGGCGGACGGGUGAGUAAUGCUUGGGAACAUGCCUUGAGGUGGGGGACAACAGUUGGAAACGACUGCUAAUACCGCAUAAUGUCUACGGACCAAAGGGGGCUUCGGCUCUCGCCUUUAGAUUGGCCCAAGUGGGAUUAGCUAGUUGGUGAGGUAAUGGCUCACCAAGGCGACGAUCCCUAGCUGGUUUGAGAGGAUGAUCAGCCACACUGGGACUGAGACACGGCCCAGACUCCUACGGGAGGCAGCAGUGGGGAAUAUUGCACAAUGGGCGCAAGCCUGAUGCAGCCAUGCCGCGUGUGUGAAGAAGGCCUUCGGGUUGUAAAGCACUUUCAGUCAGGAGGAAAGGUUAGUAGUUAAUACCUGCUAGCUGUGACGUUACUGACAGAAGAAGCACCGGCUAACUCCG